UACGUAGGUGGCAAGCGUUGUCCGGAUUUACUGGGCGUAAAGAGCGCGCAGGCGGUCGUUCAAGUCGCGUGUGAAAGCCCCCCGGCUCAACUGGGGGAGGGUCACGCGAUACUGAUCGACUCGAAGGCAGGAGAGGGUAGUGGAAUUCCCGGUGUAGUGGUGAAAUGCGUAGAUAUCGGGGAGGAACACCAGUGGCGAAGGCGGUUACCUGGAGCUUUGCUGACGCUGAUGCGCGAAAGCGUGGGGAGCGAUCGG
rnacentral:rRNA from 1 species